CUUGAUGGUCAGCGGGUCGCGGAUCAGGUUGCUGAUAAGGUACUUGCGGGUCGAGCUGAAACAAACCAGACUGAGGAAUAACAGGUCGGCUGAAAAUCAUUGUUAGCACCACAGCAAGUGACUUUCGGUCCAGUGACAGGUGGUGUGCGCACGUAGGAUGUAGCUGACGGCACAACCGUAAACAGACAUUUAUCAAGCUUUCACAUGGGGGCCCACAGAUCCCGUUAGCCAAAAAACCUAUUUCUCUGUGAUAGAGUAUUGCGCGGGUCCAUUUUUUGGAACCCGUACCCGAAAUCCGCAACGCGCAUUCUUAAACGCAAGUGCCUUAUCCGCAACCCGGACCCGCUGACCAUCAAGAAUCAGGAAGUGCUGUCAUUGUAAUUCCCAGACUGAAGGAAAAAAUUAUUCAAAUAAUUUAUAUAGUGUAAUUAAAGUUAAUUUUGCUUGACUAAUGUGAUAAAAUAGGAUUUUGAAUAUUUUUUUUGGGUGACGGGUCCCCUUUAACAACGCUUCCAACCAAAAGGAAGACAGUGCAUGUGAAUAGCACAGAAGGUCUUCAUAGAGCCUAUUCACAAAAGCUCCCUAAAAAAAUUCAAAUUGAGGAAACUACAGAGCACUCUACACUUUUCUUUGUGAUCCAAUGCCGCAUCAUUCUGUAACAGCUAUUCAUUGCAUUACCAAGACAAUACUAAGAACAAAGAAAAUAGUGGUCUAUUGCCAAGCGAUGUGGUUUUGUUGAGAAUCAAACUGCAACAAAAUCCUACAUUAACACUUCCCUAUGUAGUCAUUCAAAUUUAAUUCAUCUUUCCCAAACAUGUUU